rnacentral:rRNA from 1 species
AUUGAACGCUGGCGGCAUGCCUUACACAUGCAAGUCGAACGGUAACGCGGGGCAACCUGGCGACGAGUGGCGAACGGGUGAGUAAUGCAUCGGAACGUGCCCAGUUGUGGGGGAUAACUGCUCGAAAGAGCAGCUAAUACCGCAUACGACCUGAGGGUGAAAGCGGGGGAUCGCAAGACCUCGCGCAAUUGGAGCGGCCGAUGUCGGAUUAGCUAGUUGGUGGGGUAAAGGCCCACCAAGGCGACGAUCAGUAGCUGGUCUGAGAGGACGACCAGCCACACUGGGACUGAGACACGGCCCAGACUCCUACUGGAGGCAGCAGUGGGGAAUUUUGGACAAUGGACGCAAGUCUGAUCCAGCCAUGCCGCGGGCGGGAAGAAGGCCUUCGGGUUGUAAACCGCUUUUGUCAGGGAAGAAAUCUUCUGGGUUAAUACCUCGGGAGGAUGACGGUACCUGAAGAAUAAGCACCGGCUAACUACGUGCCAGCCGCCGCGGUAACAC